rnacentral:rRNA from 1 species
CGAGGAGGUAGGGCUUACGCUCGCGUUUGUCUGUUAUAUCUUGGUGGACGAGUUGUCGCGGUUGGGACUGAGGUGCCUACAACGUGCUUUUGAGUGAGUUUGUGUCUCCGUGUGCGCCGUGUGUGGAUAGCUUGCUAUGUAUGUGCGGUUGUGUGUGGAUUGAUGCGGGCUUUAACUUGUUGCCGUUCGGGACGUUGGCGAAAUGGAGCGAUCCGACCCGUCUUGAAACACGGACCAAGGAGUCUAACAUGUGUGCAAGUGUUAGGGUGUGGAAACCCCAGCGCGAAAUGAAAGUGAAGGGCAGCGCAAGUUGUCUGAGGUAGGAAACGUUGUGGACUUCGGUCUGCGGCGUGGCACUAUCGACCGAUCAUGAACCUUCGUGGUGAAAGAUUUGAGUUUGAGCACAUAUGUUGGUACCCGAAAGAUGGUGAACUAUGCCUGAGUAGGGUGAAGCCAGGGGAAACUCUGGUGGAAGCUCGUAGCGAUUCUGACGUGCAAAUCGAUCGUCAAACUUGGGUAUAGGGGCGAAAGACUAAUCGAACCAUCUAGUAGCUGGUUCCCUCCGAAAUUUCCCUCAGGAUAGCAGCAACUUAUUUACGAUAGUUUUAUGAGGUAAAGCGAAUGAUUAGAGGAUUCGGGGAAGAAACUUCCUCGACCUAUUCUCAAACUUUAAAUCUGUAAGACCUGCAGGUUUCUUAAU